AUAGUACUCCUUCCGUUCCACAAUACAUGACUUCCAUUUAUUAAAAUAUUGAUGUAUCUAGACAUGUUUUAGUAUAUAGGUACAUCCAUUUUUGAACAGAUGAAAGUCAAGUUAUUUUGAACGGAGGGAGUACAUG
rfam:Triticum aestivum genome assembly, contig: Triticum_aestivum_CS42_TGACv1_scaffold_030686_1BL